rnacentral:rRNA from 1 species
CCUACGGGUGGCUGCAGUGAGGAAUAUUGGUCAAUGGGCGCAAGCCUGAACCAGCCAAGUCGCGUGAAGGACGACGGUGCUAUGCAUUGUAAACUUCUUUUGUCAAGGGACAAAAUCCGCCUCGCGUGCCUGACCGAGGGUACCUGAAGAAAAAGCAUCGGCUAACUCCGUGCCAGCAGCCGCGGUAAUACGGAGGAUGCGAGCGUUAUCCGGAUUUAUUGGGUUUAAAGGGUGCGCAGGCGGCCUGGUAAGUCAGCGGUAAAAUCCCGGGGCUCAACCCCGGCGAGCCGUUGAAACUGGCGGGCUGGAGUUGGAGAGAAGUACGCGGAAUGCGCGGUGUAGCGGUGAAAUGCAGAGAUAUCGCGCAGAACCCCGAUUGCGAAGGCAGCGUACCGGCUCCACACUGACGCUGAGGCACGAAAGCGUGGGUAUCGAACAGGAUUAGAUACCCGAGUAGUC